CACCUGCUGACUCCUCACCUCCUCCACCUGCCAACUCCGCCCCUCUCCUCCUCCACCUGCCAACUCCGCCCCUCUCCUCCUCCACCUGCCGACCCCUCUCCUCCUCCACCUGCCGACCCCUCUCCUCCUCCACCUGCUGACUCCUCUCCUCUCCUCCUCCACCUGCUGACUCCUCUCCUCUCCUCCUCCACCUGCUGACUCCUCGGGUUGCCGGACAGCAAUCAUCUUAUGAUGUUACCUCUUUUCAUGACGAUUAUGAUCGAUGCCUACGUGGCCCACACUGUAAAAACCAACAAUCAGAGACCAGAAAAGAAAGCACUUCACACCGAUUCAUUAGAAAUGACACGUAUAUGGGAGGGAAGGAGCUCAAGAUUGAAGAUUCAGUGUGACGUGUGUGACCGUUGGUUUCAUACGCAGUGUGUUCAGGAGCCUGAUCCCAUCAAGUUGUGCACAAGAUUCUCCUCCAUUCCCCUGUUAUUAUUUACUAUUAAUAUUUUAGUAUUAAAGUUACUAUUAAAACAAAUAA